rnacentral:rRNA from 1 species
GACGAACGCUGGCGGCGUGCUUAACACAUGCGAGUCGAACGAUGACGACCGAGCUUGCUCGGUCUGAUUAGCGGCGAACGGGUGAGUAACACGUGAGCAACCUGCCCUUCACUCUGGGAUAACCUCUGGAAAUCGGGGCUCUUAUCGCAUAUGAGCUCCUGUCGCAUGGCGGGCGUUGGAAAGUUGUUCGGUGAAGGAUGGGCUCGCGGCCUAUCAGUUUGUUGGUGAGGUAGUGGCUCACCAAGGCAAUGACGGGUAGCCGGCCUGAGAGGUCGACCGGCCACACUGGGACUGAGACACGGCCCAGACUCCUACGGGAGGCAGCAGUGGAGAAUAUUGCACAAUGGGCGAAAGCCUGAUGCAGCGACGCCGCGUGAGGGAUGACGGCCUUCGGGUUGUAAACCUCUUUCAGCAGGGAAGAAGCGAAAGUGACGGUACCUGCAGAAGAAGCGCCGGCUAACUACGUG